GCAGCGGAUACGAACUCUAAUUUUGAAACUGUGUGCAGCCUCAAAAAAAAUUCUCUCCAGAACCAGAACCACCAUAAACACCACCUUGUAGCCCUUGACCACUAUAUGUAAAAGAGGAAACUCGCACCGUGUUGGAAGCAUUUAGGUCGUCGUAAGUGCAAUUAAAGCGAUAGAAACAGCGCUAUGCCAAAUGACCGAACCUGAUGUAGAUCUAACACUGCACUCUCGACCGGAAACCACGCCCACGCAAACACCCUCCAUGCACAUCGCGCGACAAAUCUGAGUCAGCCACCGCAGUAACCAAAGGUGGUUCAACAAGAUGAGCUUGCAUCGGAACCUCACGCGCCACUCGCAUCUAUCGACUCUCAAACUCUAAGAGAACAUCGACUAAACGCUGAAAAGGAAGAGGCUCCGUCAAGAAUGAGGCCAAAGUCAACACAGCAUCAAAGUCCGACGAGAGGCCAGCUAAAACAACUUCUACCUCUGACACUACCGAUCCAGAGGCUGCAAGUAACACAAAAAUAUUUUCUAUUUUUGCAACAUAUUCUUUUACAGUUAAUUCGCCAUUCUUUAUAGAAUGCAGAUCAUGUUUAAUACGAGAAAAUUUUGCACCAGUUAAAGCAGCAAAAAGAUGAUUCACUGUGCUCCAAAUUUCACAUACAGAUUUAGCAGAGAUGUAUCUGGAUUUGGAAGAAGUGCACCUUCUGGAGAUGCGAUGAACCGAGGUGGAGCAGACAACAUGCCCUCCAAGAAUCCUUGUAGCUCAUAUCCUUCUAUUAUCAACCGGAUAUGUUGCUUCUAUUGAACAAAGUUUCCUUCCUCUAGCUUCACCGUGUCAUGGCGAGGCAAAGAUUGAACCAAGGAUGCACUUGAAAAUGACAGACUCAUAGGAUCAGCAGAGUUAGAAUCUGUUGACGGUGCCAUAACACGAAAAUGGAAGCACGUACCAGGACUAGGCGGCUGAUACCAUGUAAGAUACUAUGCAAAAUUAUGUAUGAACAGAAAAAUAAACUAUAGUGUAAUUCUUUAAUCUCUAUUCCUUAUCUUUGAAUGAACACAUUGAUGAGAUUAUAUACA